rnacentral:rRNA from 1 species
CUAGCGACUUCAGAGUUUGAUCCUGGCUCAGGAUUAACGCUGGCGGCGUGCAUAACACAUUCAAGUCGAACGGUGAAGGGACUUCGGUCCCGGAUCAGUGGCGGACGGGUGAGUAACGCGUGAGCAACCUGCCCUUGUGUGGGGGAUAACGUCUGGAAACGGACGCUAAUACCGCAUAACCCAAUAGUAUGGCAUCAUACAGUUGGCAAAGAUUUAUUGCACAAGGAUGGGCUCGCGUCCCAUUAGAUAGUUGGUGAGGUAACGGCUCACCAAGUCGACGAUGGGUAGCCGGACUGAGAGGUUGAACGGCCACAUUGGAACUGAGAUACGGUCCAG